rnacentral:misc_RNA from 1 species
CGAAAUUAUGCUGACCCCUAACCGGGAUGGCUAUAUUUUCAACCCUUUGUGAACCAAAAAAACCUUUUAGCUUCGGCAGCUGGGUUGCGGAAACGCAUCCUGUCAGCCUGCCGAUAGCACCAAACUUAAAACUUGCUUAUAUAAAAUUGUCUGAAUCAAAAAUUUCGAAUGAAAUUA